rnacentral:lncRNA from 1 species
UCCACAUAUCGAGAACUACAUAACAUGGUUUCUUAGUAUUGCAGUACCAGUCAUCAGACAGCUUCGGUAUAUAGUUUCAAGAUACGAGGGUGAGAGUUCUACUAUGCACAUAUUGAUAAGGCCUCAAAAAUUACGUCUUAUGUCAAUUUUAUAUUUAAUUUCAAUUCAUUAAAUCUUCAUUUUACUUCUUAUCCUUAAUGAAAAAUAUUUUAUAUAGCUACAUUAUAUCUUUAUUUUAAGAUCUAUAAUGUAUUGCUAAUUUUUUUUGUUAUGUAGACUGAUCGUUUGUUGGGUCUUAUGCUGGAUACUCAUCGUGCUUUAUCUAUGAUUGAUGAGGACGAGCGAAUCCGAAUACUGCGGG